rnacentral:rRNA from 4 species
GGUCAUUUAGAGGAAGUAAAAGUCGUAACAAGGUCUCCGUAGGUGAACCUGCGGAGGGAUCAUUACACAAAUAUGAAGGCGGGCUGGAACCUCUCGGGGUUACAGCCUUGCUGAAUUAUUCACCCUUGUCUUUUGCGUACUUCUUGUUUCCUUGGUGGGUUCGCCCACCACUAGGACAAACAUAAACCUUUUGUAAUUGCAAUCAGCGUCAGUAACAAAUUAAUAAUUACAACUUUCAACAACGGAUCUCUUGGUUCUGGCAUCGAUGAAGAACGCAGCGAAAUGCGAUAAGUAGUGUGAAUUGCAGAAUUCAGUGAAUCAUCGAAUCUUUGAACGCACAUUGCGCCCUUUGGUAUUCCAAAGGGCAUGCCUGUUCGAGCGUCAUUUGUACCCUCAAGCUUUGCUUGGUGUUGGGCGUCUUGUCUCUAGCUUUGCUGGAGACUCGCCUUAAAGUAAUUGGCAGCCGGCCUACUGGUUUCGGAGCGCAGCACAAGUCGCACUCUCUAUCAGCAAAGGUCUAGCAUCCAUUAAGCCUUUUUUUCAACUUUUGACCUCGGAUCAGGUAGGGAUACCCGCUGAACUUAAGCAUAUCAAUAAGCGGAGGA